rnacentral:rRNA from 1 species
UGAGGAAUAUUGGACAAUGGGCGCAAGCCUGAUCCAGCCAUGCCGCGUGCAGGAUGACGGUCCUAUGGAUUGUAAACUGCUUUUGUACAGGAAGAAACAGUUCUACGUGUAGAACCUUGACGGUACUGUAAGAAUAGGGAUCGGCUAACUCCGUGCCAGCAGCCGCGGUAAUACGGAGGAUCCAAGCGUUAUCCGGAAUCAUUGGGUUUAAAGGGUCCGUAGGCGGUUAGAUAAGUCAGUGGUGAAAGCCCAUCGCUCAACGGUGGAACGGCCAUUGAUACUGUCUGACUUGAAUUAUUAGGAAGUAACUAGAAUAUGUAGUGUAGCGGUGAAAUGCUUAGAGAUUACAUGGAAUACCAAUUGCGAAGGCAGGUUACUACUAAUGGAUUGACGCUGAUGGACGAAAGCGUGGGUAGCAAACAGGAUUACAUACCCCCGUAGUCCCUGAGCGGGCUGGCAAGGCGCAU